rnacentral:rRNA from 1 species
GACGAACGCUGGCGGCGUGCUUAACACAUGCAAGUCGAACGGAAAGGCCCUGCUUUUGUGGGGUGCUCGAGUGGCGAACGGGUGAGUAACACGUGAGUAACCUGCCCUUGACUUUGGGAUAACUUCAGGAAACUGGGGCUAAUACCGGAUAGGAGCUCCUGCUGCAUGGUGGGGGUUGGAAAGUUUCGGCGGUUGGGGAUGGACUCGCGGCUUAUCAGCUUGUUGGUGGGGUAGUGGCUGACCAAGGCUUUGACGGGUAGCCGGCCUGAGAGGGUGACCGGCCACAUUGGGACUGCGAUACGGCCCAGACUCCUACGGGAGGCAGCAGUGGGGAAUAUUGCACAAUGGGCGGAAGCCUGAUGCAGCAACGCCGCGUGCGGGAUGACGGCCUUCGGGUUGUAAACCGCUUUCGCCUGUGACGAAGCGUGAGUGACGGUAAUGGGUAAAGAAGCACCGGCUAACUACGUG